rnacentral:rRNA from 2 species
AGAGUUUGAUCCUGGCUCAGAACGAACGCUGGCGGCGUGCUUAACACAUGCAAGUCGAACGUGAUUGAGAGCUUGCUCUCAUGAAAGUGGCGCACGGGUGAGUAACACGUGGAUAAUCUGCCUGGCGAUUCGGGAUAACACUUCGAAAGGGGUGCUAAUACCGGAUAAGCCCACGGUCUCUUCGGAGAGCGCGGGAAAAGGGGGCCUCUGUAUAUGCUCCUGUCGCUAGAUGAGUCCGCGGCCCAUUAGCUAGUUGGUAGGGUAAUGGCCUACCAAGGCAUCGAUGGGUAGCUGGUCUGAGAGGAUGAUCAGCCACACUGGAACUGAGACACGGUCCAGACUCCUACGGGAGGCAGCAGUGGGGAAUUUUGCGCAAUGGGSGAAAGCCUGACGCAGCAACGCCGCGUGAGUGAUGAAGGCCCUCGGGUCGUAAAGCUCUGUCAGAGGGGAAGAACCUCCCAUCGGUUAAUAUCCGGUGGGCCUGACGGUACCCUCAAAGGAAGCACCGGCUAACUCCGUGCCAGCAGCCGCGGUAAUAC